rnacentral:rRNA from 1 species
ACGAACGCUGGCGGCGUGCUUAACACAUGCAAGUCGAGCGAUGAAGUUUCUUCGGAAAUGGAUUAGCGGCGAACGGGUGAGGAACACGUGAAGAAUCUGCCCUCCACUUUGGGAUAACACCGGGAAACCGGUGCUAAUACCGAAUAUUGAAACAUAAGUGGCAUCACUGAGUUUUGAAAGAAUUUCGGUGGAGGAUGACUUCGCGGCCUAUCAGCUAGUUGGUGAGGUAAUGGCUCACCAAGGCAACGACGGGUAGCCGGCCUGAGAGGGUGACCGGCCACACUGGGACUGAGACACGGCCCAGACUCCUACGGGAGGCAGCAGUGGGGAAUC